UUUAAACAGUGUUUAUUUGGUUUUUAGCACAAAUGGAUAUUAUCAAUUAUGAAAUAAUUGAUAAGGUGAAAUAUAUUUAAUCAGGUUGACUAUUUUAGGUUUUUUUUAACUUAGUUGAAAUAUAAACUCGAAAUCAAACUUAAUUGUGAAAUGAGGAUGAUAACUCAAUUUUGUCAAAUUUAGAGAUUCUAGAAUUUGGUCGGAGAUUUUAGAAAAUAUCUAGACUUCUGUAGGUUCUGAAGUUUAUGCAAAAUAACAGAGUGAGUCCUACUGGGAUCGGGUUUUUAUCUGAGUGAUCCAGGGGAGUUUUCUGGAUGGGUUAAAUUUUGGAUACCCGCGUGGGCGCGAGAAUAUAUUAUUGGUGGAUCUGCAAUUUUAAAAAAGAUGUCGCGGUGUAGGGAUGCUGUGAUUGGGACAACGCGAGGGCUGAGGGAUGGGCCCCUCCUUUCUGAGCGUUGGCGGGAUUUAUCUGGGAUGUGGCUGUUGGAUGUUUUCCGUUUUUUAGGACUUAAUUUCGUUAGAUGGUUCUUCAAGAUUUUGGGUGUGCGUUUUUAUGGUUUUUCUCGUUAUCAUAGUGUAACGGCUAUCUCAAGUGGUUUCACGUGCAGCUGCAUAGUUUUGCUAUCCACUUGAUCACAUUGCUCAUAUCUUGGGAAGGGAUGUGCUGGAGUCUGGGAAAUGUUUAUGUUAUAGGUUUUAUGAUUUUCUGGACUACCUGAUGGGUUUUACUUAUACUACAUUAUUCUAGAGUAUUCGUAAUAUAGUUAAAAAAUAGUUGAAAUAUUAUAGGUAAGGAAAGUUUAUAAGAGUUUGAUAGUAAUUACAUGUCGUGUUUGAUUAAUCUAAGAGAGAGCGCUGGCGCUAUUGGGACGUAACACUAUUGUAAAUAAUUUAUGAAUUCCUGCUACUGCAGUUGAUUUUGAAAAGCAUACUCGGUAUAUAAGAAUAUAUCAGCGUGAUCAAAGUAGAUUUUUAUUAUUUCUACUGCGAAAAUGGUCAAUUGUGAUUAUGUUAAUUGCUUUGAAUUUUUUCUACUUGCAACAAAAUUUCGUGCCGCAUAGCGAUCGGAUGGCUCCGGCUCGACUCGUUACUAUUCGUUCCCGCGUUAAAAAUAAGUCUGAAUUCGUUGUUCAAAAUCCUGUGCAACAAAUGGAUUGCCGCGUCUUUUUCAUAUUUCGAUUUGGGAUAGAUAUUAAUUCGUGAACUACUUUGAUAAGAUUUUGACCUUAACGGCAAUGCCUCCGAUUAUAUACAUGUAUUGGGGCACGGGAGACCAAUAGGAAAUCAGUGAAAUAGGGAUUGAGCUACGAGGGAGAUAUUAUAGGGAAUAAUUAUAAAGUGACUCACCUUGUUAGGACCCAUUGGGCGAGCUGGGUGAUCCGAUUGCCGGCGUGCCAAGCUUGGUAGUAGGUUGAAGUAAUCAAAUUCACAUGGGCAAAAUCAAAAGGUCAGGUAUCGAUCUUCGGAUAUUUAGAAAAGAUGUUCAUAUAAUUUAUAUGAAAGGUGAAUUUUAAUAAUAUAAUUCACGUUGUUGAACUCCGCAGAAGCUUCUUUCAGACACCGAUUAAUGUCUUCGGCUUCGUUUGCAUUCGCGUAUUUGAAGUGUGAUUUCCGUGAUCGUGGGGCAAAGGAAACCCUCGGCCUAAAUUCACUUGUUCAUUAUCAAUGCUUUUACAUUACUUUAAUAAUAAUGGUCACCAACUUGUCGAUCGACAAUUCCUUAUGAUAUUGUGUGGCAUUGUUAAUGGAUAUGACUUGUCUGUGAAUGAAAAUUGUGUUGUGUGUAUGUUUUGUGCAGCGUGUAGCUAUAUUUAUAUCUAUAUUAUACUACUAAUAUAAUUAUAUGAAAAUGAAUAUCAAAAUUAUGGAUAAUAAUAUUAUUUUUGCUGCUAACAAUAUUCAUCAAUUUAACCAUACGCGAGGGGGUAGUUAUGUCAUUGCAAU